rnacentral:tRNA from 1 species
GGGGUUGUGGCUCAGCAGUAGAGCACUCGCCUAGCAUGUGUGAGGUCCUGGGUUCAAUCCUCAGUACCA